UACAGAGGGUGCGAGCGUUGUCCGGAAUCACUGGGCGUGAAGGGCGCGUAGGUGGCGCAACAAGUCAGUGGUGAAAGCUCGACGCUCAACGUCGAGUCGGCCACUGAGACUGUUGGGCUUGAGCACUGUAGAGGCUAAUGGAAUUCCGGGUGUAGCGGUGGAAUGCGUAGAGAUCCGGAAGAACACCGGUGGCGAAGGCGGUUAGCUGGGCAGUUGCUGACACUGAGGCGCGACAGCGUGGGGAGCAAACAGG
rnacentral:rRNA from 1 species